UAGUACACAGGAAGCUGUGAACCGCCGCCUGUAAAUGGUCACUUGGGCGGUGGGGAGCUAAUAGUGAGACCGGCCUGAAAGCAG
rnacentral:ncRNA from 1 species